rnacentral:snRNA from 1 species
GCUCACUUCAGUGCACAUAUACUAAAAUUGGAAUACAGAGAUUAGCAUGACCCCUGUGCAAGGAUGACAUGCCAAUUUGUGAAGCCUUCCAUAUUUUU